UCGUGUCGUCGCAAUCCUGCAACUAUUGAUUUCAGGCUCUUUGUUGUUUGUUUAUUACUUAGUAAAAUUGCUGUGCGCACAAAUUAUUAGCUGCAUGCGUGUUUAUCGGGAUUACAGCAGGCAGAAGUACAUUUGAUUGGACCCCGCUCCCCUCACGCCUGCUGACCCAGUCUGUGUGGGAGUCACUGCAGAGCUGCCGUUUGGGUUUUCUUCUGGGAAAUCCGAGCUUGAUGACCAAACGUGUUCUGAUUGGUUCAGGCCACUGUGAAGAGAGAAGAGCUGAACUGAACCAGAUGCCUGUUGAUGUCACUUCCAUGUUUGGAGGUCAAUAUGGACUGAAUGACUUCGUUCACUUCCUCUGCUGCCAUUCCAAGACCACAACUCUAGAAAAUCAUCGUCAUUGUUCACAAUUUCUCCUGUUCACUGAUCGGCCUGGUCGAAAGUCUACUGAAACCCACUCAAUGGGAAAAAGCCCAAACGGUGAAGAAAAACGAGAAUCGAGCAGAGUUGUGCAGGAAGGCAGUGACCAGGCUAACUACAUGAACACGGCCAUAAAAACUGACCGUUGGACAAACUUGUCCCACGGACUUUGAAUACGCCUCGAGUACGCCUGGACCUCGGUGGAGUGACGUACGCCUGUGUAUUUGAGGUUUAUAGCUUUCCUCUUAUUGUUAGCCCUUAUGAAAUAUUGCUACAUUGAAUCGUUUGGUCUCUUAGUCUGAACCGCCAUGCUGGUUAGUUUCUUUAAGAGGCUAUACAUUUUCUCACACGUCUCAUAACUUGUAUAACCCGAUGUCUCCAGCAGGCCUCUGAGGUCGUGUGACCAGCAGUUGCUGGUCGUGUCGUGUGAUGAUGAAAUCUACGACACGAAUCCAAGACUUUGAGCUCUGCAGACUGAAAAGUGCCACGUAAAUGAAGUUUUAUUGACUAGUUGCAAGUCUACAGACAGGAAGUGGAACAUGGCAGAGUAGGUCAGGGUGAAACGCUGAGACAGGACUUUGGGGUACGUUCAACAUUUGACAACUCCCACUUGAUCCAAACUGCAUACUGAUGCAAUCGGUAUGCAUAAACCUUUUGAGCCACUUUGAAUACUAAUUGAACACACUGUAUCGCAUUAUAGCUAGGGUCAAUUGUAAUGUAAGUGUGAUUGAACUGAAAUUACGUUUUUAAGUAAAGUACCUCGAGAGAACAUUUGUUGUGAAUUGGAGAUAGAAAUAAAGUGAACUGAAUUGGAUUACUGGAGCCUGUCUUGAAGCAUAAUCUGCUUC